CAGGCCUAACACAUGCAAGUCGAACGAGAACCCAUUCUUCGGAUUGGGGGACAGUGGCGAACGGGUGAGUAACGCGUUGGUGACCUGCCCCGAAGUGAGGGACAACCACGGGAAACCGUGGCUAAUACCGCAUAUGCUCCAGGGGGUUAGAGGCCCCUGGAGUAAAGCUCCGGCGCUUCGGGAGGGGCCUGCGACCUAUCAGCUAGUUGGUGGGGUAAUGGCCUACCAAGGCUAAGACGGGUAGGGGGCGUGAGAGCGUGGCCCCCCACAAUGGAACUGAGACACGGUCCAUACUCCUACGGGAGGCAGCAGUGAGGGAUAUUGCGCAAUGGGGGAAACCCUGACGCAGCAACGCCGCGUGGGUGAUGAAGGCUACUCGGGUAGUAAAACCCUUUUAUGGGGGAAGAGAAAGGACGGGACCUACAGGAAUAAGGUACCCGGCUAACGACGUGCCAGCAGCCGCGGUAA
rnacentral:rRNA from 1 species